GUGGACUGGCAAGCCUCCCUCUUUCCUUCCUUCCCAGUAUUUUCUCUCUCUAACUAUAUCUAUACAUUUUUCUAUAUAUAUAUAUACUCCAUAUUUGAAGACAUCACAUGCUAUAGAGAGAGAGAGAGAGAUUUGAAUGCAACAGGUGAAAUUGCAGUGAGGCAGUUUCCCGAUAAAGCCAGUAUCCGUCUCUUAUGCUCUUUGUCCCCUCAUCGGAUCCAGAGUUCCUUCUCUUUACCUCAAAGGGAUUCCGUUCCUAGAUUAAGUGAGAUCAUUUUUUUGUUAAGAUUUUGUUUUAGGAUUAGUUUUUAG